GUGUCAGCAGCCGCGGUAAUACGGAGGGGGCUAGCGUUGUUCGGAAUGACUGGGCGUAAAGCGCGCGUAGGCGGAUCAUCAAGUCGGGGGUGAAAGCCCGGGGCUCAACCACGGAAUGGCCUUCGAGACUGGUGGUCUUGAGUUCGAGAGAGGUGAGUGGAAUUCCGAGUGUAGAGGUGAAAUUCGUAGAUAUUCGGAGGAACACCAGUGGCGGAGGCGGCUCACUGGCUUGACACUGACGCUGAGGUGCGAAAGCGUGGGGAGCAAACAGGAUUAGAUACCCCGGUAGUCC
rnacentral:rRNA from 1 species